rnacentral:tRNA from 1 species
GGAGUUGUAGCUCAGUGGUAGAGCACUUACCUCACGCGUGUGAGGCACUGGGUUUGAUUCCCAGCACCA